rnacentral:rRNA from 1 species
AUUCUGGUUGAUCCCGCCAGAGGUCACUGCUAUCUGGAUCCGAUUAAGACAUGCUAGCCGAGUGCGAAAGCACGGCAGACGGCUCAGUAACACGUAGUCAACCUGCCCUCAGGUAGGGGAUAACCCCGCGAAAGUGGGACUAACACCCUAUGGGGAAAAGAUACUGGAAUGUUCUUUUCCUGAAAGGCAACGCCUGAGGAUGGGACUGCGGCGGAUUAGGCUGUUGUUGGGGUAAAGGCCCAACAAACCUAUAAUCCGUACGGGCGUUGAGAGACGUAGCCCGGAGAUGGGCUCUGAGACAAGAGCCCAGGCCCUACGGGGCGCAGCAGUCGCGAAACCUUUACAAUGGCUUCACGGCCGAUAGGGGGAUCCAGAGUGAGUGCGCAAUGCGUACUCUUUUGCCGAGUCUAAACAGCUCGGAGAAUAAGGGGUGGGCAAUACGAGUGCCAGCCGCCAUCUUGCGUAGGACGGAAACUUUUCCGCCCUUGCGGGACGGAAAACGGUAAUACUCGAGCCCCGAGUGGUGACCACGUUUAUUGGGCCUAAAGCGUUCGUAGCCGGCUGGACAAGUUCCUAGUGAAAUCCUGCGUUAAACGCGGGGCGUGCUGGGAAGACUGUCCGGCUUGGGACCGGGAGACGUUAGCAGUACUCCAGGGGUAAGGGUAAAAUCUUAUCAUCCUUGGAGGACUACCUGUGGCGAAGGCGGCUAACGAGAACGGCUCCGACGGUGAGGGACGAAAGCGUGGGGAGCAAAUGGGAUUAGAUACCCCAGUAGUCCACGCUGUAAACGAUGCCCCCUUGAUGUCGCGUCUUCUUCGGGAAGACGCGGUGUCGUAGAGUAGUUGUUAAGGGGGCCGCCUGGGGAGUACGGCCGCAAGGUUGAAACUCAGCAGAACGUUCGUUCUGAACGUUCGUUGCGAGCAACGAACUUAAGGGAAUUGGCGGGGGAGCACUUCAAGGGGUGGAGGCUGCGGUUCAAUUGGAUUCAACGCCAGACAUUUUACCAGGGGUGACAGCAGGAUGAAGGUCAGUCUGAAGGGCUUACCUGACGCGCUGAGAGGAGUUGCAUGGCCAUCGUCAGCUCGUACCGUGAGGCGUGCGCUUAAGUGCGUUAACGAGCGAGACCCACGCCCUCUGUUGCUAUCUUGUCCUCCGGGAUGAGAGCACUCUGAGGGGACCGCCGGCGAUAAGUCGGAGGAAGGAGUGGGCGACGGUAGGUCCGUAUGGCCCGAAUCUCCUGGGCUACACCGAGUCCAGGCUAGCGAGGAAGAGCAAAUGUUUUGGAACGAAAGUUUCAGGAUACGUUGAACCGUUUUUGAUUGUGCUAACGGCAUGCUACUUACGAAAGUAAUAGUAUAUCCGUCACGCACAAACCUUUACAUGAACCCUGAUUUAGCAUAUCUGAUAGGUCUCAUCGGAGGCGACGGUUCGCUGACUUACAAGAAAGGAAGCGAAUACCGUGUCUCAGUCGUUGACGAGUGCUUGGAAUUUCAUGAGCACGUCGUCAAACCUACAAUGGAUGCGACUUUCAACAAAGCCGCGUACGAAUAUCCGCGCGUCGCUCUGCAGGUUGCAAACAGUGGUAUCAGAAACGAAUUGGUCGAACUUCUGAAGAGGUUUGGCAUCGCACCGAGCGUUUGGAAGUACAAGCAAAUGUUCGGUUUGCAAAUAAUCGGUUUCGAUAAGGUUAGGCUGUAUUCAGAGAAUGUCGGUUUUCGGCAUCCCUCGAAACAGAAACGGUUGCUCGAGCUGCUUGGCUUGGGGCCUAACGCGGCCUACAAUGACCCGGACAAAGAGUUGCCACGCCGAAAGGCGGAGCCAAUCUCUAAACCGGGCCUUAGUUCGGAUUGAGGGUUGAAACUCACCCUCAUGAAGCCGGAAUCCCUAGUAAGCGGGUGUCACUAUCACUCGCUGAAUACGACCCUGCUCCUUGCACACACCGCCCGUCAAGCCAUGCGAGUGUUCCCUUGAUGAGGCUUGGGUUAUUGCCCAGGACGAAUCGAGGGGACGCGAGCGGGGCUAAUCUCAAGGAGUUCAUCUCAGAACAAGAUGAUUAAACUGGCUUGACUCUGACAAAAUAUGAGGAGUCUUGGAGGUGGAAUGAUUGCUUGAGAGCUCCUGGGAGCCUAGAGUCGUAACAAGGUAGCCCUACGGGAACGUGGGGCUGGAUCACCUCCU